UAUUGCACUGGUCAGGAGAGGUCAUGCCGAAAAACAAAAUUCAUACAAGAAAGAAACUAGAAACAGACUUUUUCUUUUUUUCCUUCUUUUUUUGAAAACAAUAAAAUUGGAAAGUAAAACAGAAAGAGACCGAUAAUGAGAAAAGGAAGGUUGCUUUUGAUACCAACUUCAAGAUGUUUGGAUUAAAUCUUGCAGUAGAAUUGCUUUGGGUGAACAUUUGGAGGUAAAUUUACGUACAUAUUUACCUCUUCCAGAGUUUGAUCCCAUUGAAACAGUGUUUGCCCUACAUCACACAGAAACAACAAAAUUAAUUAUCAUUUCUAGAAAGUACAAUAAAGUGAAACUAUCAAACAAAAGAACAAAAUAGACAUCGUCAUGCACGAAAGAACGACGCUCUCUGAGCCAAUUUCUCAGCCAUUUUGAAUCUCUUCUCCUCUCUUAAUCGUGCUUAGCGUGGUUAGUUGUAUUUGCUUUCGCAACACUAAACUUGAAGAAUUAAUGGCCACUGACUGCGAAUUACAACUCGUUAUACGCACAGAAGAAUAGGGAUUAGCGAGGGUCAGUAAUUAAACAAAUACUUACUUUAUUUUCUAUCAAGUUUACAUUAAUGGUGUUGGACGGAUCCAGUCCAAGAAGUGGUAUUGGAUUCUUACCUUAUAAACUGGGAGUCUGGGUCCAUGUCUGUUUCUCUUUGCCUAUAAAAAGGCAGUACUAAAUCUACUUGCUCUGCCAAUCCCCAGAUAGAAAGAUGAGACCUAUCUCUAGUUUGUGUGUGAAUCUAAUUCAGGCCAUCCAUGUCAGGGCCCUACUAAUCCUAUCCCAUGGUGUUAGAUUCACGCACAAACUCGUGAUCUUUCUCCUCUAUAGACACUUUACUUGUAUUUCUAAUUUUACGAAAUUAGAACAGAGACGAAAGAUGAGAUGGCUAAUAUCGGAACUGGAGAGGCAUCAACACAGUACGACGACGGCGAUAGAUGAUUACUACACGUUGAUUUCUACGACUGAUGAGAAAGCUGCACCAGAGAUUCUUCUUCACUAUGAACUGAAGCUUCUUUGGUUCAGAUAAGAUAGAAUUGGAGAUUAAGGACUGACUAUGUAUUGUACGUUAAUGAUGGAAUCCGGCUUUCAGAACAGGAGCCAGCGCCUGCAUGCUUAUAGGUGGGAAGAUGCCACAUUAGCGAAAACCACUCAAAGAAUUCAUAACGGGUGAAGAGCAUGACAUGGGUAAUGUUCAACCUUCUGCUGUCACUUAUGUGUGUAAAGGGUUUUAGCAUUGACAGCUGUACUGAGUGAGGCUAAUGCGUGAUGAUGAUCCAGUCAGACCAAUGCCUGAAAUAAGCUUGUUAAGCCAAUCCUAGGAUAGGAGUCCCGCUUCUGUGUAUAAUGAUGAUUCCAUAGAUACACAAGCCAAUCAAAUUGUGGACUAUGAUAAACUAUUCAGGACCCUAGUAGGAAGAAUUUUGUGUUUCAUUCGAUUUGAAUGCUUUGAAAUACAUUGCGCCUUAGUAGCUAGCUAUCAUCUGAGUUUAGUAUGAUCUGCCACGAAUUUGGGAUAUUCAUCUUCAAGAGAUUGUCUUUCUGGGCCAACUUUAUUGUAACUGUAAAUUUCAAUUUCUUAUGAAAAGGGAAGGAGCUUGAGCAUAUUCGACCUUUA